GUGCUAGGCAGGCGCCAGCAUGGCCGCCAGUUGGCCAGUGUGGUAGCGUAUUACGGUUUAAUGGUUUAUGCAUAGGAAUUUUCAGAGGUGUCAUGGCGGGUAGAUUCUCUGCAUGAUGGUAGUCGCAGAAAACACGUUGUAUGCUGAAGCAGGAAAUUCCCGUAGUUUGGUCGUAUAUCGUCGAUCUUAGCAUCAACCGUCGACCGUUAACAGGAAUUGAGUAGGCACCUCUACAUAAUCCUACCUGAUCGUUGCUGCAAAUUAACGUAAUAAUUCUUUUAUUACUUCUGCGUUUAAACUUAACUAAAGUAAGUUUACUGCUUCUUGAAACAAGAAACAUAGCAGAUAUCUUGAUGACAACUAAGUGUCAUUGGAAAGAUUGUUAAAAGAUGUUUAAGGUAUUUCUGUAAGGUACAAAUCUGUAAUCAUGUUGAUAAAUUGACUUUUUAGGUAUAUCAUAAUCUUCAGCUUCCCAGUCAGACACCCAUCCACAAAGCCAUGGGUGAUAGAUGAUAUUAAAAAUGUAUAUUUUAAGUUAUUUAUUGCAGAUUCUACCCAAUGUGUGGAAUGUGAUAUUCUUGGCCUCGAAACCCCAGCUGCCCUUUGCUUCAACAAGGGUAUAAAGCAAUGAUAAUUCCAGGAGGUCCUAACUCAGUUUACGAGGUUGAUGACCCACUAUACGGCACAGCAAUCUUUAGGCUGUGGUCUUCCAGUGCUGGGAAUUUGUUACGGCAAACAUGGAAAUGUAUACAUAAGGUCCCAAUUCAGUUUACGUGGCGGAUGCCCCACUAUACGACCCAACAAUCUUUAUAUGCGGUCUUCCAAUGCCGGUAAUUUGUUAUGCAUGCAAUAAGUCAACAAGAAGUAAGUAUUUAACAGGUGGAUCGGUGGAGAGAAAAGAUGUUCGCGAUGGGUAAUUCGAGAUCCAAGUAGGAACGGGAGUCUCCAUUGUUUAGAGACGCGGCAAAUGGUAUUACUGACCCAUGGUGGCAGCGUAGACAAGUUUGUAGAAGGGUUGCGUUGCGUCGCAAAAUCUUCGCGUCAUAUUAUUGCUGAUAUUACUGAGUCCAGUUCCAUGAUUUGAUUGGAAACGGACGAAAAGUAUUGCGUAACUUCUUGUUCGACAUCUGUGGAUUGCGAGGAGGUUUUACAUUGGAGAAACGCGAGCAGCAGUGUAAAGAUUACAUCCGGCGUAUGGUUGGACGUGAUAAGAUCGCGCUCGUGCUGGUAAGGGGCGGAGCAGAUUCCGUCGUUUGUGCUGCCCUUCUCCAUAUAUCACUUCUCCAGGGUGACGACUCGUCGCGAGUGCAGGCCAUCCUCAUCGAUGACGGUUUUCUGCGUAAAGACGAAUCCGAGCAGGUCGUCACUAGUUUACUCAAGCUUGGGCUCAAUCUUCGGGCAGCGGCUUCUCAUUUCUUCAUGUCAGCGAUCAAUUGCUUUAGGUUGUUAAAGCAAGUUUGACUUUCUACGAUGCUUCCACCAACGUGCCUGGUCGCCAAACUUUGUCGUUGUAUCGGACGGUUAAACUGUGUAAAAUCGUCGGAUUAUUGGGGAUACAUUUGUCAUUUGCCCAGUGGCAAAUCUCACUUGGGAUAAUCUACUUCUCAAACAAGGUGCUUUCCGCUUUGAGACCGAAUUUUAUUGAGCCCGCUUCACAUAGGGCUUCUUCGCGUGCUGGUUUCAUAAAGACUCAUCAUAACGAUUCCGAAAUGGUUCGUCAGUUGCGUCUUCACUCCGUGUAGUAGAACCUCUUUAAGAUGCCACCCAAAAACAAGCGGAAGACCAUUCGAGGCGUUCGACAGUUCGUGAGCAGACGUACCGUUGAAACAGCCUUGCGCAGUCUAGCUGCAUCCAGCCAGGUCCUAUAUACUUAGUAGGACCCGAAACAAAAGUUUUAAGAAGUACUGUCUGAUUUUUCGGUUCAAGUCUAUUUAUAUGCCAGAACUAAAAUUGUACUUUUAGAAUUUUUAUUAACAAUAGUUUACUUUUACAAUUAUAAAAUUCUUGUUAACCAUCUAAAGGAGAACAAAGCCAUUUUUUAGAUUAACAGAAUUUCAACUUCCGGUUUUACUUCCGGUUUAAAAUGCAAAAUAACUCAUUAUUUGUAGGUCUAGCAGAAAAAAGAUUCACAUUUUCGUGAUCCUCGUCAAAUUUCGUAUCGACUUCAUCCAUAAGCUAAAAAUACCCGAAAUCGUCGAAAAUCGCAAAUUUUCCUGAACUAUAACUAUUGUUCAUGAAAAAUCGCGAUUUUGGUCAAAUCCGACUUUUGGCUGAAAACAUGUCAUUCCGUCCCCAAAUUUGAUAGGGAUCAUGAAAAUCCUACUCGUUUUGUUAUGAAAUCACUAUUUCCGUAGAUAUUGGCUACUUCCGGUAAAUUUUCGCGACAAUUUGCAUUAAGUAAAACAUGAGCUGUAUUAUUCUAACAACUUUAAAUGUUUUUCUUGCAUGCAUUAGGGUGUUGCAGCUUUUAUUCCCUUUUUUUCUUUCUAUCAAAAGUACAGGCUAACCCUACGAACAACGACAGUUUUAGCUACAAAUAUUUUAGCACCUGGUCUUGCAACUAGUAGUUGAUAUUCUAGGUUUUUAAAUUUAAAAUUGGAAUCAACUGCCUAAGGAGGAAAAACUAGAUGGCGUUGACGUACACUUUUAUAAAGAUCACGAAUGACAAGUAAAAUGCGUAUAAUCAAUCAAUGCUGGCUGUUCUACACUUGGGGAAUAAUAGUUCAGUGAUUGGGUUCAACACCACUCCAAUCCAUAGUGGCAAUUUUCAUUUCCGUGCAAGUGCCCUUCUAACUUUUGACAUAGCAAGGUGAAGAGAAAACAGGGAUUUGCAUGGAUUAAUCCUUGGAAGUAUUCCGUGUCUCAGUGAAGUUCACAAAAUACAAAUCAGUUUACAAUUGGCAUUGUGACAAAUGAUAGAAGGUUAAGACUCUCCACAUUGAACUCACUCACCAAUAAAAUAAAAAUAAAUACCUGUCGAAAUGUUGCCUACACUACGAGUUAUUCUUGAAUUCUUGAUUUCAUAUCAAAGAAAAGGUGCCCCUGUUUUGACCACAGGCUUCUUGGAACAAGGUGUGACUUGCAAGAAUAUGAAAUGUAGUUGAACCAUGGAAUUGAAUGAAAUUGGUACGAAAUGUUAAACAGAAUAUCGUGAAGUAUUCAUUCCGUAAGGUGGAAAAGUGCUAUGCGGUGGACUCCAUAGUUUUUUUGUUUUGUUUUUUUUUAUAUUUAUGAUACUUAAUCUUUUCUAUUGCUUCAGAUGUAAAGCAUCGAUCCCGUCAAAUGUUUUGCUCAUGUUUGCAUCUAAGGUCGAAAAUGGAAAUAUAACGAAACCAAUUAAAACAGAUAUGACUACCUGAUAUUAGUGACAUGUCAUGUCUAUACGGUCAAAAAGAAGUCUCCGUGCUCUUUAAACAAAUUUUGCUGCACCGAGCUCGGAAUUUUCCGAGAUGUAAAUUGUGAUUCCCCAUGGGUUUUCUUAAAAAACCUUUUUAUGUUGACGUAGUAAGAGCUUCUAAUUCUAAUGCCAGAGUUCGUACGUUAUGAUUUCGUGAUCGUUUUAUGUCAACUAACGACGAAAGAUGUCAUGUAACUAUAUUUUGACGUGUCAAAAAAUUGUACACGGCUAGAGAUGCUGCAUUUUCGAAGAAAGCUACUUCCACAUCACCGUUGGUCGCUGAUUUGUCCCGAAGAUGAAAUUUUAAUAAAUUGAAGUGCAUAUCUGGGCUCUC